AUUGAACGCUGGCGGCAUGCUUUACACAUGCAAGUCGAACGGUAACAGGUUAAGCUGACGAGUGGCGAACGGGUGAGUAAUGCAUCGGAACGUGCCCGAUCGUGGGGGAUAACGCAGCGAAAGCUGCGCUAAUACCGCAUACGAUCUGAGGAUGAAAGCGGGGGACCGUAAGGCCUCGCGCGAUCGGAGCGGCCGAUGUCAGAUUAGGUAGUUGGUGGGGUAAAGGCCCACCAAGCCGACGAUCUGUAGCUGGUCUGAGAGGACGACCAGCCACACUGGGACUGAGACACGGCCCAGACUCCUACGGGAGGCAGCAGUGGGGAAUUUUGGACAAUGGGCGCAAGCCUGAUCCAGCCAUGCCGCGUGAGUGAAGAAGGCCUUCGGGUUGUAAAGCUCUUUCGGCCGGGAAGAAAUCGCACAGGUUAAUACCCUGUGUGGAUGACGGUACCGGAAUAAGAAGCACCGGCUAACUACGUGCCAGCAGCCGCGGUAA
rnacentral:rRNA from 1 species